AUUGAACGCUAGCGGGAUGCUUUACACAUGCAAGUCGAACGGCAGCGCGGACUUCGGUCUGGCGGCGAGUGGCGAACGGGUGAGUAAUGUAUCGGAACGUGCCCAGUAGCGGGGGAUAACUAAGCGAAAGCGUAGCUAAUACCGCAUACGCCCUACGGGGGAAAGCAGGGGAUCGUAAGACCUUGCACUAUUGGAGCGGCCGAUAUCGGAUUAGCUAGUUGGUGAGGUAACGGCUCACCAAGGCGCCGAUCCGUAGCUGGUUUGAGAGGACGACCAGCCACACUGGGACUGAGACACGGCCCAGACUCCUACGGGAGGCAGCAGGAGUGAAUUGUGGACAAUGGGGGCAACCCUGAUCCAGCCAGCCCGCGUGUGCGAUGAAGGCCUUCGGUUUGUAAAGCACUUUUGGCAGGAAAGAAACGUCGCGGGCUAAUACCCCGUGGAACUGACGGUACCUGCAGAAUAAGCACCGGCUAACUAC
rnacentral:rRNA from 1 species